AGGAGUUCAGCAGAUCCUAAAGUCUCAUCUGUCCGUACCACUUGAAGACAGUGUAAUAUCCACCGGAGAAGAAUGAAUAUUGCAGUUUCAGCUGCAUGAUUACGAUCCUGCUCUUGGACUCCAUACCAGGCCGAGCUUUGGUGCGCUGGGUUCCCCGCCUCCGUGACAGCAACGCCAGGAGUCCCCGUUGCAGUGACCGAAGGUGGACUAAUUCUGUAGCUGUAUUCUUCACACCACCUCAUCUCCAUCUGCAACAGUGAAAUAAAAUGAAUUAUAAGGAAUCUGGGUUUGCUGAUUAUUCUGAAACCUGCUUUUCCAAAUAGUUCUUGUGAGCAACUCCAGGCCUGGGCAGAAAGCAACACCAUGCAUGGGCAUAUCUCCAUAGCAGCAUCUCACUUUUUAUACAGCAAGUCACAACAUCCAUCCUGAUCAGUGCUUCCUGAUCAAUCAUUAUAAUCAUCAGCAUUGUGAGUAAUAAUUUCUGUGAUGUUUUCCACCUAUGGUGGUAAAGUAGAUAAAGAAAAAUGUAUAUAAAUAAUUGAAGACCAUGAACUUGUUUAUGUAUGCAACUUAAAAUAAGAAUAGGGCUUUUAGAAAGUUUAAAAUUGACAUGGAUCAAUAUUAAAAAGAAACAUGGGUAAAUAUAAUGUAAAGGGAAUAGCUAAUAAAAUAUACAACUUGCAAUUUAUGCAAGGUCUGGGCCCAAACUACGUGACAAUAUUGCUAUUCCUGUCGGUGAUUUGUACUCAAAAUUUGCACUGAAAUCAGUGGAAGUUCAGUACUACAGUGAUUGCAGGAUUGGGCCCUGAGAGCCUGCUUUUGCAAUGUUUACUCAUAUAAGUAAAAUGCAUUUAGAUGAAUAUUACCUAGACCCUGAUCCUGCAAUCUGAGCUGCAUGAGCAGAACACUGUACCUGGAUGGGCCCAUUGAUUUCAAAAGAAUUCUGCACUGGGUGUUUGGAUCCACCUGCGCAAAUCAGGCUGCAGGAUCAAGGCCAUAGAACUUAAGUGGUGCAUUAUUCCUUUGCUGAAUUUCUGCAAAGGGGUAAAUUUCACUCUCGUGAAUAAUGGUGGCAGCCUUCGGGCUCGUAUGAGUUCAAUUUCAGUUAAUGCAGAUUGAGUCAAGUAAAAUAUUGUGUCUCAUCCUUUUAUUCUAAGCAGUGAUAUUCUCUUCUAGCAAAUGAGACUCUAUUAAUAUAUUGUGCUUGUUACAA